GGAAGUAAUUGUCUUCAAGGACUCCAGUCAAAUCUAUGAGGAUUUUAGAAGAGUCCAAAGUACAAGCAAAGAAGAAGCAAGCAGCAAGGCAGACCACCUGACUUUGGAUCUAUUUCUGUACCACAUAUAACUAAAGAAAGAUGGGCAAAUGGCUCGGCCUCUUUCCUUACUUUCCACAUCUAUAAAAUUCAAUAUUGUUGGUGUGUACUUACCUAGUAAUUAGGAAACUAAACACAGAAAUUACAAAUUUUGAAAUCCAUAAUCUUCUUUCUAUACGUAUUUUUCUAUGUACUCAUAAGUUUUAGAUUCAUUAUUGAACAGCUACACCCCUAGUAGAAAUUAUUUAACCUUUUAAAAUUUGGUUCCCUGUCUGAAAAAAAAAAUUGGUCUUAUUACAGUGUCUAGCUCAUAGAAUUGUGAAUAUCAAGUGGUCCCAGUAAUGCACACUCCUUGGCAUAUGUUAACAAUUUUUGUGGUGUUCCCGGUUCCCUAGGUAGACCAAGAGCAGGUACCCUCUUAGGUUCCUCCUUGUGUCUAAUACCAUUUUUACGUGAGUGUUUAUGAAGGAAAGGGAAAGAAAAAAUAGUCCAUUUGUAAACUGAUACAUUAACAUGGUAACAUUCACACUCAAACACCAGGCAUGCCCUAGAAAAGAACUGAAUGGGUACUCACGAAGGCCCACAGGAUGCUGGUGGAAGGGUACUCAGAGACUCAUGUAAUAGUAGGUGGGAUAGAAUACUAACCUCAUGCAGUCACAUUCUCUCUUGUAUUCUAACAUCAGAGCCUGAACAAAACUCCCAGAAACACACAGUGAAGUUAACUAUAGAGAAAAUGCAUUUUGUAUUUCUCAUAUUGUACCAAGACUUUAAUCUCUGUCUCUCUGUCUCUGUCUGUCUCUUCCUCCCUUCAGUGUCCCAGCUCUCUGUGUGUCUGUAUGUCUACCUGAGACUCUGUAUUUACAUGUCUCUCUCUCCCUCUCUCUCCUUCUAUUUCUGUGUGUUCCUCCCCAUAUGUGUGUCUGUCUGUCUGUCAGUCCCUUUUCCCUCUCCCCAUCUCAUCAUUUUGAAAAGUCCCACUUGUUACAGAUGUUCUCAAACUAUUCUCUACAACUACAUGGAUAAAGGCCCCCAACUUCUAUAUUUUCCUACCUGUCAUCUUUAUCUAUAAUAUUGCUGUCUAGAAGUUGCUCAGCAAAAUUGUAUAUUGAGCAAGCACAUAAUAAAAUAAAAGAUAUUUGGGGUCUCAUAUGAUCUUUCCUGUUCUAAAAUAGCAACGUAUAUUAACAGUAACAUCAGUAUUCACUUUCUUCUGCUUAUAUUUUCUUUUGUUUAAAAUCAGAAAAGAGACUUCAUUUCCUAGGUCAAAGAGAAAUUUAAAUAGUUUUUAAUUCUUGACAGUUUAAUUGCAAAAACUUUUCAUACCUCAAGGAAAAUCAGAACUUUCUAAUAAUUUUACAUGUUGGCAAUUCAAAGCUAAGUACUUGCAGACCACAACUCAAGGCUGAGUCACACAUGUCAAUUCCCUGCACUAUUUUACAAGAAUUUUACAAAUAGCAAAGCUCUUUAACCGAAAACUGUAGGAUUUUGAUAUUUAAGUCAUUGUUAUAAAGGUAACCAACAUUAUGUCUUUACAUUUAAGAAAAUGUAUUAAUUCUUACAGAAUGAAUAUUUACACCUCAGAGACUCUCAAUAUUUCACAUCUGCGAAGCCUGAAAACCAAGAGAGAACUGAGAUUCAGCUCGGCUCAUUUCCUCCUCCAUUCUAGUGAAUCCAUGUACUUACAGGAAUUGGCACAGACAGAAAAGUGGAGAAUUGAAAGGGUGUUCAAUAGCAGAUAUGCAAAGGAGGUAGAGGAAAUUAAAAAGUAGAAGAAACCCUGAUUGGGAUUUUAUUAUUAUUAUUAUUAUUAUUAUUAUUAUUAUUAUUAUUAUUAUUGCUAUUAUUAUUAUUGGGGCUAUCAUCAAUAACCCACUGGGACACACCCAAGAAUUCUAAUAUCUGUGCUUUACAUGGAAGCCAACUCAAGGAUAAUCAUAAAGGAAGAUUCUCCCUGGUUUGACCCACAAAAGCAUUGUUCAUUUUACUGUACCUAGUAGUAAUUUUCAAUGGUCAGAAGAAGGCAAAUGUCUCCACAAGGAGUUGAAAUUUGGAUAACUUUUUCUCAACAAGGAGUGGAAAGUAUCACAUGGUUAAUUAGGAAGUUUUAAUGAGUCCACUAGACUUAUUAAAAUAAACUGAAUGUUCAGAGGGUAAGCAGAUGCAUCAGUUGUU
rnacentral:lncRNA from 1 species